rnacentral:rRNA from 1 species
GUGGGGAAUCUUGCGCAAUGGGCGUAAGCCUGACGCAGCCAUGCCGCGUGAAUGAUGAAGGUCUUAGGAUUGUAAAAUUCUUUCACCGGGGACGAUAAUGACGGUACCCGGAGAAGAAGCUCCGGCUAACUUCGUGCCAGCAGCCGCGGUAAUACGAAGGGGGCUAGCGUUGCUCGGAAUUACUGGGCGUAAAGGGCGCGUAGGCGGACAGCUUAGUCAGAGGUGAAAGCCCAGGGCUCAACCUUGGAAUUGCCUUUGAUACUGGCUGUCUUGAGUUUGGGAGAGGUGAGUGGAACUCCGAGUGUAGAGGUGAAAUUCGUAGAUAUUCGGAAGAACACCAGUGGCGAAGGCGACUCACUGGCCCAAUACUGACGCUGAGGCGCGAAAGCGUGGGGAGCAAACAGGAUUAGAUACCCGAGUAGUCC